UCAACCAUGUAAAAAUUGAUGAAGAUCAAUAUAAGCAUCUCUAGGGGUUCCAGUGCUGAUUGAAAAUGCCUAUUCUAUCUUCAUAAAGUUUCACUGGAAAUAAUGUAACGGAACAGACCAAAGUUUGCUCACAGUUAGCAACAAACAACCGGCUGAUAAGAGGCUGAUUCAGACAUUUAGCCGCAGUUUCCUGUAACUCAAAAGCAAUGAUUACAUUAAAUGUUAUAUAUUACAAAAAGCUCUCAUCUAUCAUAUUUUCAAAUAUAUCCAAGUUGGAAGACACUUUAGAAAGUAAUUAUUUAAUACUUACCAUAGAAGGGAAAUAAAUUUAAAUUCAUGAUUACUUUAAAUAAUAAUUGUGGUAGCAGCAAUGACCAUUUAUGGAACUCUCAUAAUACCAGAUGUUUGUUAGGUUCUUUACAUGAAUGUCCUUUAAUCCUUCAAUCCUACCUUUCAGGUAUUAUGAGCUCUACUUUUUAUAUGAAGACACAGGACUGGAGGUUAAACAGUUUGCUUAAUGAAGGUGCAUCACCAAUUGGGGUGGUCUCUGGGGGCACCUCUAGGGAGAUCAGCGACUCUGUGGGGCACUGUUUACAUGGAUUCAAAACUGCUGCCAGGCUGCCUCUUUGAUUCAGUUCCUCCCAUCUCUGGUCCAAUAUUUGGUGUUUUCCAGUUGUUCAUAUUUAUAAGUGAUGUUCUUAUUAGAAGUUCUCAGUCCAGUGCUGCUGAGGAUCUAUUUUUAUAUUUAUUCUACCAUUCAAAGAGACUUUUGAUGGAUGGAGAGGAAAAGACAUGUUCUCAGUCAGUAUCUUCAUUUGGAAGCCAUUUUAAGCACUUUAAAUAAAGCAAAUAUUCUCCCCCUGCAAUUGGUCCAUCAAUAUUUCUAUCAAUUAGCUAUCAAUUGUACUGUAGGCAAUCCAAUAUAUUUAAUCAAUUGUCAGAUUUGAAAAUUUCUUUUUUUGUUGUUAACUGAAUUAUCCAAAAAAGUUAAAAAUACAGAAAACUUACAAUCCAUAUCAAGUAUGGCACGGACUGAUUUAACAAGGUCCUUAGAUUCAAGCGCCAGGUUUGCUGGGAUAUUACGUCCAUUCCUUCCCAGAGAUGUGAGGGAAGUCUGAGAAGCUAACAUGGCUCUUCUUUCACUAAGAGGAAAAUAAAAUAAAGUUGAACUUAUUACAUAAUAAAUAACAUCUAUCCUUUGAUAAACCUCAAUUCUUGAUAAUUAUAAAUUUGUACAAAAAUAUUUCUAUUUCUGGGAAAAUGGUAUUCUUAUAGACAUAAGUGAAGUAAUUCACACAAAACAAUAUUUCUACUUUCAAUUCCUUUUUAUAUAAUAAAUAGCCUUUUAAAAAACUGGGUUGACUUCCUUUAAAAGGAGGAACUAAUAGAAGGAUAGCCUACUUCCUAAAUUAUCGCUUGGGCUUAUUUUGUGAGUGCUCACUUUAUGCUAAUAUAAUGUAGCUUUUUUUUUAGGAUUUUUAAAAAUUCAAAUUAAUGACAAACAAAUGAAACAGAAAUUUACUUCUAGAAAUAUUAAGUGUAAAUUAAGUAUGUAUAAAUUCAAUAUGUAUAUUAGCUCCUGCAAUCAUCUCUUAAACUCUAUUUAUUGCCUCUAAACAUAAAAUUGACUAGAGCAUUUAUAUCACUUUUAAAAAAUGCAACCAUCAUCUGAAAUGAACGCAUUCUGAUAUAAUUAAGAAAGCAGAGUCUUACUGCCAAAACAAAACAAAAACAACAAAAAACACAUUUUGUUAAAACUUUCACUUGAAAAGACUUUUAAACUGAUGAUAAACCAUUAUUUACAGUCUAUCUUCUAAGCAUGAUGACAUUAAUUCAUAAGGAGAAACCAAAGCAUCAGUUCUCAAAUUCAAACACAUACAUAGCCUUUUGUCUGUGCUAAAUCAUCAAGCAAGGCAUUGCAAUAUCCACUGUAGAAGAUAUAGUAUAAUAAAAAGACUGAACCAGACUUCACUGCCGUUUAACUUUCCAAGACAUUGUGAAGUUGCUUAAUGUAGCUUUUUAAAGUUGCUUUUUUUCCCAUGAAGCAGUUUAAGGGACGGGCAGGCUCUGAAGUUUAACCUUCAUUUUAAAAACCCAAACUUUUGAAUUAUUAAUCAAGGUCACAGUGACACCUGGGGCUGGGUGGGGGAUACCUAACUCAUACAACCGGGAUUUGUUUGCUGAUAAUUUUAAUAAGCAUCAUGGAAUACACAUAAUUAUCACUGAUCAUAAGCAGCAUGGAUAACAACAGAACUUGUCAGAUUCCUUCAUUAUAAGAAACAAAGCAUUACAUUAAAAUGAGCUUAGCAGUGAACAACUAUCAAUAUUCUUCUAAAUUCGAAAGUUAUGUGGAAAUAUAAGAAUAUAAUGAAUCAUCCUCAUUUAUUGAACUGCUGUUUUCAUAGUAAAGGUGAGAGUUUUCUUAUGUCUCUGCAAAUGUAAAUUGCUAGAAAUAGACAGCAUAUCAAGAACUAGUGAUAGCUAUAAUAAGAUGAGGAAAAAUUACUUUGAAAAUGAAUAAAUUUUCUUUUGUAUAUGUCUUUCAUCAUGUAUCAAAACAACCAUAAACUUGUGGUUUGAAAUAAAUAAAUCUUAUUUUUAUGUUUG